AGUGCUCCUUAUAGGACUGGGGUGGGAUUGAGCGAUGUAGGGGCUAUGGACUGGGGGAGCUGUGACAUCACAAGGAGGGGCUGUGUCAUCACUAGUCAGAGCCAUCUUAAGGCGAGGGAAAUCUAAUACUCCAGGUUUUUGUUCUAUGGUUGUUGGGUGAAGGUCUCUUCUUCUGGAGCUGUUUCAAGCUGACAAAGGGGCGCAGGUUGCGGCUAAACCUGGAUCUGGCAGGGACAGUGGAACACUGGAUAUGCGAAUUUGAGAAUGUCAGAGAUGUAAUCUCCAGACAGCUCAACAAAGAGGAAACGCUGUCUCCCCAGAGACCACUACAACCUUGGCUGCUGUGCUCUCUACUUUAGGGCCUCUACAGCUCCGACCGGCAGCCUCUAAAGCUUCCACCACCCUUGCUGCUUCUCGCAUGGUGGACUACUUGUCCCUUUCAGGGAAAGAGAGGUCGUCACAGGUGAUUCCUGGAAGAGGGGCAACUUCCUCCUCGCAGCCUGAACUGCUAGCCUGCCAUAGAGGAACCACAAUCAACUGACAUCUAGAGCUGCAACUACAGCUCAUCCUGAUGUAGCUGUUGCAGCUUCCAAAAGCAGGAGGAGGAGAUGUUUAGGACUGCUGUCUUGAUUAUGCCUCCAGCAAGCUAUAAGCAGUGCAGGCUGUAAAGAGGUAACCCCUCAACUGGCUCAUUUUAAGCAAAAGUGGCUCAUAGAAGCAUCUCAUAAGCACUGCAGCAGCACACGGGUUAGCAUGACCUUCCUGUUAACAGCCAUAGCCAAGACCAGAGAAAUGGCCUGUGAAGCUUUGGGGCUCAAUACGAGAUAACAAGGUAGCUGAGGUUGGAGUAACUCGCACCCAAAUUCUAUCCCCACAGCCACAGUCUUAACUAGAAGGACAAGGUUCUAAUUACAACCCUAUAUUUUGUCUAUUCUUUUUCUAAUUAGAGAAUGUUUUGUCGUUUCCUUUAUAAGCCUUGCCUGCAUUAGUAUCCAUAGCAACUGCACAACUGCUUUUCCUCACAUACAGUUCCCCGUUAGCACAUAGUUCCCCUUUAAACCACUUGGAUUACCAAUAAAAAUCAGUGGCUUGGACGGACCAGGGUAUUUUUCUGGUUACUCAGCACUGGCCAUCCUGGCUCCCCACUUCUUUCUCCAGUUCUUUCUUUGAGUCUUUCCUCAUCCCUGCAUAAUAUACUGUGCAGGAGACUGGACCCUACUGCACAGGUCUCCAAUAUGCAGUAACUAUGAUGUCACUUGAAACACA
rnacentral:lncRNA from 1 species